AGAGUUUCUGAAUUGGGCAUUUGACGAGGAACACCGCAGCAUACUUCACACCUCGCAACAACCUGGUCAGAUCCCAGUUUUGUCCACUCACACACCUCUCAGGUCUUGGCGGCUCGACCAGAGGUGGACACCGAGGUUGGCACGGGCUGGGCUGCUUCCCCUUGCGCGGAUGAUCCAGGCCACAGAGGACGUCGUCGCACAGCCUGCCCACGGGGAGCCUGCACACGUGGAGCGAUCAUGACGGUCCCGUUCGACCGCUCGCUCCUGUCGUGCUGGGCAGACCGGUGGCGGCCGGAGACGCACACGUUUCACUUGCCGUGCGAGGAGAUGACCAUCACUCUGCAGGACGUGGCAAUGCUGACAGGGUUACCGAUUGCAGGAGACCCUAUCGGCCCCAUGGCGGCGGGGCCGCCAGGUUGGCAACAGGACUUGGAGGCUAGGUUUGCGGCGGUGCUUGAGCCACCUGAAGCAGCUGGGUUGUUGCGUAUCCCAGCUGAUCAGAGGGAUGGCCCAACGAUGAUGUGGCUAGAGCAGUUUCGGGUUGAGCGGAUGGUGGCACAACCUACGGAGGAGCAGGUAGCUCGCCACUUGGAGGCAUUCCUACUUUAGCUGUUUGGGUCAGUCAUGUUCACAUCGACCCAUGGCAACACAGUCAAUGCGCGUUGGAUACCCAUUGCACGCGCUAUCGCGGAGGUUGACAUGGAUGCUAUCCCACAACUUUCUUGGGGAUCCGCUGGCCUUUGUGGCACGUACCAAGCCCUUUGUGACGCCUGCAUCCAGUCGUCGUCGUCGUCCAUACUGGCAGGGAUGCCCCUCCUUGUGCAGUUGUGGUCCUUCGAGCGGUUUCAGGUCGGCCGCCCACUUGUUCAGCCGAGUUACUACACCGACGACAUGUACGGUGGCGACGAGAUAGACAGACCCACUAUGUGGUCACUUUGGACAUGGAGACUACCACAGUGGGUAGGGCUCAAUGUGCACUCGACUUACGAGUCAUUCAUGGAGGCGUUCGACCACCUCCAGCCAGAGCAGGUUGUGUGGGAGCUUUACCGGCCGGAGCUUGUGGCCGUGCGUACUGGUGGACGAGGGCUCUCAUACCUUUGCCACCGAGACAAGGUGUACUGGAUAACGAAGAAGAAGCUAGUGCAUGACAUGGUCAUUCAGGACUAUGCUGUCCACCGCUGCAUGCAGCAAUUCGGUCUGCGGCAGGAGUUUCCGAUGACA